GCAUGGUUGGUUUAGUGGCAUAAUUACCGCCUGCCAAUCUCAGUGCGCGGUAGACCCGGGUUCGAUUCCCGGACCAUGCA